UUGUAAACUGCUUUUAUACAGGAAGAAACACUCCCUCGUGAGGGAGCUUGACGGUACUGUAAGAAUAAGGAUCGGCUAACUCCGUGCCAGCAGCCGCGGUAAUACGGAGGAUCCAAGCGUUAUCCGGAAUCAUUGGGUUUAAAGGGUCCGUAGGCGGGAUAAUAAGUCAGCGGUGAAAGUCUGUGGCUCAACCAUAGAAUUGCCAUUGAUACUGUUGUUCUUGAGUGUUUAUGAAGUGGUUAGAAUAUGUAGUGUAGCGGUGAAAUGCUUAGAUAUUACAUGGAAUACCGAUUGCGAAGGCAGAUCACUAAUAAAAUACUGACGCUGAUGGACGAAAGCGUAGGUAGCGAACAGGAUUAGAUACCCCUGGUAG
rnacentral:rRNA from 1 species